rnacentral:rRNA from 1 species
UUACGGCCAUAUCACGUUCAAACACCAGUUCCCGUACGAUCACCGAAGUUAAGCUACGGGCCUGGUGUACCAAAAUGGGUGGCCGCUUAGGAAUACCAGGUGCUGUAUGC